rnacentral:rRNA from 1 species
UACAGAGGUCUCAAGCGUUUUGUCGGAUUUCAUUUGGGCGUAAAGGGUGCGUAGGUGGCGCCGUAAGUCGGGUGUGAAAUUUUCGGAGCUUAACUCCGAAACUGCAUUCGAUACUGCGGUGCUUGAGGACUGGAGAGGAGACUGGAAUUCAUGGUGUAGCAGUGAAAUGCGUAGAGAUCAUGAGGAAGACCAGUGGCGAAGGCGGGUCUCUGGACAGUUCCUGACACUGAGGCACGAAGGCCAGGGGAGCAAACGGG